rnacentral:rRNA from 1 species
AGGACGAACGCUGGCGGCGUGCUUAACACAUGCAAGUCGAGCGAGGCCCUUCCUUCGGGAGAGGUGCCCUAGCGGCGAACGGGUGAGUAACACGUGGGCAACCUGCCCCUAGCACUGGGAUAACUCCGGGAAACCGGGGCUAAUACCGGAUACGACCUCUGAGGGCAUCCUCGGGAGGUAGAAAGCAUUGUGGCUAGGGAUGGGCCCGCGGCCUAUCAGCUUGUUGGUGAGGUAAUGGCCCACCAAGGCGACGACGGGUAGCCGGCCUGAGAGGGCGACCGGCCACACUGGGACUGAGACACGGCCCAGACUCCUACGGGAGGCAGCAGUGGGGAAUAUUGCACAAUGGGCGAAAGCCUGAUGCAGCGACGCCGCGUGAGGGAUGACUGCCUUCGGGUUGUAAACCUCUUUCAGCAGGGACGAAGCGAAAGUGACGGUACCUGCAGAGAGCACCGGCAACUACGUGCCAGCAGCCGCGGU